UACAGAGGAUGCAAGCGUUAUCCGGAAUGAUUGGGCGUAAAGCGUCUGUAGGUGGCUUUUUAAGUCCGCCGUCAAAUCCCAGGGCUUCAACUCUGGACAGGCGGUGGAAACUACCAAGCUGGAGUACGGUAGGGGCAGAGGGAAUUUCCGGUGGAGCGGGUGAAAUGCGUAGAGAUCGGAAAGAACACCAACGGCGAAAGCAACUCUGCUGGGCCGACACUGACACUGAGAGACGAAAGCUAGGGGAGCGAAUGGG
rnacentral:rRNA from 1 species